UACGUAGGGUGCGAGCGUUAAUCGGAAUUACUGGGCGUAAAGCGUGCGCAGGCGGUUAUGCAAGACAGAUGUGAAAUCCCCGGGCUCAACCUGGGAACUGCAUUUGUGACUGCAUAGCUAGAGUACGGUAGAGGGGGAUGGAAUUCCGCGUGUAGCAGUGAAAUGCGUAGAUAUGCGGAGGAACACCGAUGGCGAAGGCAAUCCCCUGGACCUGUACUGACGCUCAUGCACGAAAGCGUGGGGAGCAAACAGGAUUAGAUACCCUGGUAGUCCACGCCCUAAACGAUGUCAACUGGUUGUUGGACGGCUUGCUGUUCAGUAACGAAGCUAACGCGUGAAGUUGACCGCCUGGGGAGUACGGCCGCAAGGUUG
rnacentral:rRNA from 1 species